GGCUUCGCGGUCGAGUGGUAAAGACAUUUGCCUCUCACUCUGGAGUUCCGGAUUAGAUUCCCGGUCAAGAAGCUG